rnacentral:tRNA from 1 species
GGGGGAAUAGCUGAGUGGUAGAGUGUCUUGCUUAGCAUGAAUGAGGUCCUGGGUUCAAUCCCCAGUACCUUCA